rnacentral:rRNA from 1 species
UCGGGUAAGUUCCGACCUGCACGAAUGGCGUAAUGAUGGCCAGGCUGUCUCCACCCGAGACUCAGUGAAAUUGAACUCGCUGUGAAGAUGCAGUGUACCCGCGGCAAGACGGAAAGACCCCGUGAACCUUUACUAUAGCUUGACACUGAACAUUGAGCCUUGAUGUGUAGGAUAGGUGGGAGGCUUUGAAGCGUGGACGCCAGUCUGCGUGGAGCCGACCUUGAAAUACCACCCUUUAAUGUUUGAUGUUCUAACGUGGACCCGUGAUCCGGGUUGCGGACAGUGUCUGGUGGGUAGUUUGACUGGGGCGGUCUCCUCCUAAAGAGUAACGGAGGAGCACGAAGGUUGGCUAAUCCUGGUCGGACAUCAGGAGGUUAGUGCAAUG